AGCUUAGCGAUAACGUACAGUAGUUUUCUUUUGUCAUUUUUUCUUCACCGAUUGUUCGCCUAUAUGGCUAGAAAAGCCACCGUUGAAAAUUAAGUGUAUGGUAAUCACGUCUCCUCAACCUUCGGUCCAGCUCGCACUCCCAUCUAAUUAAAAACUAGUACAUCGCAGUGAAAUAAAAUUGGACCCAGCCUAACCCUGAUUUCCAUAUGCAGAUCUGUCUGCGCCGGCUGCCUCUCGCCAUCACACUAUGCAUGCAUUCAAAAGCAUCUUCCCCGCUUUUUCAGAAUAUCAGUCGAAACGAAGAGAAGCGUACAGUCGCGGCUGUAGACUGUUUUGCUGCGGCCAUACGUUUAGAAAUUGUUAUUUUUAUUAGGACCGUGUGUUUUCUUAGAAAUAUGUGACUUAUCGGAAAGGACCGCACAUCCUAACAGCAGUGGAAUUUCACGUCAUGUACAUUGUCUUGUGUAUAAGGCGCUACGGUCUCCUAGACCCAGCCUAUAUAUGCUGAUGCAGACUCAAAUCUUUCUGCUAGAUAAUGUAUUUAGGAUGGCGUCCGGGGGGGGUUGAAACGCAACCAUGCAACCAACGCCACAAGCAAAUGAGCACUGAAUUGCUGAAAAGAAGGGCUUGGUAUGAAGCGGCCAGCUGUUUUGACGCUGUUCUGGAUGCUGCAGUGGCGCUACGUGACCACCGGAGGGCAGCGCGGCACUGACGCCAAUGUGUUUUACGCGGUGGAGGUGGAGGGAGGCAUCCGCGCUGUAAGAGCCCUGGCCGACCAGCACGGACUGCGGUUCAUCUCACGGGUUGGUAGUCUGGAGGCUCAUUUCACUCUGAGGGACGACUUGCAACGCCCCAACAGGUCGGCGCUAGAGAGCUCUCUGGCCCUGACGUCAGGGUACAACCGUGGCCAGUUCACCCAAGCCCGCUACGACUUGAACGUCAUGCCCGUCUGGCAAAGAAACAUCACUGGACGUGGAGUUGUGGUGACCAUCAUAGACGACGGUAAGACGUUGUGUGUGUGUCUUUAUGAAUGAGUGUGUGAGUGUGGGAGUAUGUGUGCCUCUCUCAAUCUACCCCACUCCACUCUUUCUCUCUCUCUCUCUCUUCUCUCUCUCUCUCUCUCUCUCUCCUCUCUCUCUCUCUCUCUCUCUGGGUAUUGUGUGUGUGUGUGUGGUGUGUGUGUGUGAUCUGCUUGAGAGUCCUUCCCUCUAGUGAUUGCUGGAAUACCCUGUAAC
rnacentral:lncRNA from 1 species